UACAGAGGGUGCAAGCGUUAAUCGGAGUUACUGGGCGUAAAGGGCGCGUAGGCGGUUGUGUAAGUGAGAUGUGAAAGCCCUGGGCUUAACCUAGGAAUGGCAUCUUAUACUGCACGGCUAGAGUAUUGUAGAGGGUAGUGGAAUUUCCGGUGUAGCGGUGAAAUGCGUAGAGAUCGGAAGGAACACCAGUGGCGAAGGCGGCUACCUGGACAAAUACUGACGCUGAGGCGCGAGAGCGUGGGGAGCAAACAGG
rnacentral:rRNA from 1 species